rnacentral:rRNA from 1 species
GAUGAACGCUGGCGGCGUGCUUAACACAUGCAAGUCGAACGAGAAGUGAAGACGGAAACCUUCGGGCGGAAGGCUUUAUUUCGAGUGGCGGACGGGUGAGUAACGCGUGGGUAACCUGCCUCAUACAGGGGGAUAACAGUUGGAAACGACUGUUAAUACCGCAUAAGACCACAGCACCGCAUGGUGCGGGGGUAAAAACUCCGGUGGUAUGAGAUGGACCCGCGUUCGAUUAGCCAGUUGGCGGGGUAACGGCCCACCAAAGCGACGAUCGAUAGCCGAUCUGAGAGGAUGGCCGGCCACAUUGGGACUGAGACACGGCCCAAACUCCUACGGGAGGCAGCAAUGGGGAAUAUUGCACAAUGGGGGAAACCCUGAUGCAGCGACGCCGCGUGAGUGAAGAAGUAUUUCGGUAUGUAAAGCUCUAUCAGCAGGGAAGAAAAUGACGGUACCUGAGUAAGAAGCCCCGGCUAACUACGUG